UACGUAGGUGACAAGCGUUGUCCGGAUUUACUGGGCGUAAAGAGCGCGCAGGCGGUCGAUCAAGUCGAGUGUGAAAGCCCCCGGCUCAACUGGGGAGGGUCAUUCGAUACUGAUCGACUCGAAGGCAGGAGAGGGUAGUGGAAUUCCCGGUGUAGUGGUGAAAUGCGUAGAUAUCGGGAGGAACACCAGUGGCGAAGGCGACUACCUGCCUGUUCUUGACGCUGAGGCGCGAAAGCCAGGGGAGCAAAGCGGG
rnacentral:rRNA from 1 species